CCCUUAGAGUUUGAUCCUGGCUCAGGAUGAACGCUGGCGGCGUGCUUAACACAUGCAAGUCGAACGAAGCACUUUGAUCGAUUUCUUCGGAUUGGAAUUUUAGUGACUGAGUGGCGGACGGGUGAGUAACGCGUGGGUAACCUGCCUCACACAGGGGGAUAACAGUUGGAAACGGCUGCUAAUACCGCAUAAGCGCACAGUACCGCAUGGUACAGUGUGAAAAACUCCGGUGGUGUGAGAUGGACCCGCGUCUGAUUAGCUAGUUGGCAGGGUAACGGCCUACCAAGGCGACGAUCAGUAGCCGACCUGAGAGGGUGACCGGCCACAUUGGGACUGAGACACGGCCCAAACUCCUACGGGAGGCAGCAGUGGGGAAUAUUGCACAAUGGGGGAAACCCUGAUGCAGCGACGCCGCGUGAGCGAAGAAGUAUUUCGGUAUGUAAAGCUCUAUCAGCAGGGAAGAAGAAAUGACGGUACCUGACUAAGAAGCACCGGCUAAUC
rnacentral:rRNA from 1 species